rnacentral:rRNA from 1 species
GAUGAACGCUGGCGGCGUGCCUAAUACAUGCAAGUCGAGCGAAGCGGGGAGGGGGGAGUAAAAGGUGGAGAACCUCCUUUCAGACUGGGAUAACUUCGGGAAACCGGAGCUAAACCGGAUACUCGUGGAUGGUUCCGCGUUGCAUUAGCUAGUUGGUAAGGUAACGGCGUACCAAGGCAACGAUGCAUAGCCGACCUGAGAGGGUGAUCGGCCACACUGGAACUGAGACACGGUCCAGACGCCUACGGGAGGCAGCAGUAGGGAAUCUUCCGCAAUGGGCGAAAGCCUGACGGAGCAACGCCGCGUGAGUGAGGAAGGUCUUCGGAUCGUAAAACUCUGUUAUUAGGGAAGCGGUACCUAAUCAGAAAGCCACGGCUAACUACGUGCCAGCAGCCGCGGUAAUUC